AUUGAACGCUGGCGGCAUGCUUUACACAUGCGAGUCGAACGGCAGCGCGGGCUUCGGCCUGGCGGCGAGUGGCGAACGGGUGAGUAAUACAUCGGGACGUGCCCAGUAGUGGGGGAUAGCUCGGCGAAAGCCGGAUUAAUACCGCAUACGACCUGAGGGUGAAAGCGGGGGAUCUUCGGACCUCGCGCUAUUGGAGCGGCCGAUGGCAGAUUAGCUAGUUGGUGGGGUAAAGGCCUACCAAGGCGACGAUCUGUAGCUGGUCUGAGAGGACGACCAGCCACACUGGGACUGAGACACGGCCCAGACUCCUACGGGAGGCAGCAGUGGGGAAUUUUGGACAAUGGGCGAAAGCCUGAUCCAGCAAUGCCGCGUGUGUGAUGAAGGCCUUCGGGUUGUAAAGCACUUUUGGCGGGAACGAAAAGGACUGUGCCAAUACCACGGUUCGAUGACGGUACCCGCAGAAUAAGCACCGGCUAACUACGUG
rnacentral:rRNA from 1 species